GAAACUGAAGAAUCGGGAAUGGUG
rnacentral:piRNA from 1 species